rnacentral:rRNA from 1 species
GAUGAACGCUCGCGGGAGGCCUAACACAUGCAAGCCGAGCGGUAGAGUCUCUUCGGGGCCUUGAGAGCGGCGUACGGGUGCGGAACACGUGUGCAACCUGCCUUUAUCAGGGGGAUAGCCUUUCGAAAGGAAGAUUAAUACCCCAUAAUAUAUUGAGUGGCAUCACUUGAUAUUGAAAACUCCGGUGGAUAGAGAUGGGCACGCGCAAGAUUAGAUAGUUGGUGAGGUAACGGCUCACCAAGUCAGUGAUCUUUAGGGGGCCUGAGAGGGUGAUCCCCCACACUGGGACUGAGACACGGACCAGACGCCUACGGGAGGCAGCAGUGAGGAAUAUUGGACAUGGGGUGAGAGCCUGAUCCAGCCAUCCCGCGUGAAGGACGACUGCCCUAUGGGUUGUAAACUUCUUUUGUACAGGGAUAAACCCAGAUACGGGUAUCUGGCUGAAGGUACUGUACGAAUAAGCACCGGCUAACUCCGUG